AUUGCAGAAAUGUCACAUGUCGCCAUUUUGAGAACUAGGCCUUUAACAUUUUAAAAGAAGGCAUAAAUUAGGACUAUGAAUAAGUCAGCUGUGUUUAUGCUGUAAACUACACUACUGCUAGUUCUACUACUACUGAUGAUGAUGACAAUGAUGACGAUAAUCGUAAUACUUUAUAUGCUUUGGUAAUACAGGCAAUCAAAACGUACAGGAGAACAUGCGAAGGAGACGCAUUCCUCCACGGGAGGAUGCAGUCUGUCAUGUUUCUGCUGGAAGGGACAAACUGGGACUUGAUAUCCACUACAUAAAUGCCUUCAAAGGUCGGGGCAUUUUCACGACUGUUCCAUUCCAAAAAGGAGACUUCCUUUUGGAAUACAGAGGUAAACUCAUAACAAAAGACGAAUGUGAGCGGAGACACAGAGUUUAUCAUGACAGCCUGAAGGUGUUCAUGUUUGAAUUCAAGUUUGAUGGAAAACUCUGGUGUGUGGAUGCAUCUCAAGAAGAUGGGUCAUUAGGCAGACUUGUCAACGACAACCACAUCAGUCCAAGUGCUAAGAUGAAAAUAUUAAAUAUCAAUGGAAAGCCCCAUCUAUGCUUAUUUGCAAGCAGAGACAUAAGUCCAGGCGAAGAAAUAGACUAUAAUUAUGGUGACUCGGAUUGGCCCUGGAGAUGCAAGGUAUUUCUACAAUUGUACUUUUUGGAACUGAUAAAUUGCAUACCGUAAGCCAUUUUUACAUUUGUACCUACUCAAAUUGGCUUAACGUGACUUAGGGCAUCUAGUUUUCCAUUGAAAUUGAGUAUCACCUACUGUGCCUGGGGUCACUAUAGCAAUGCAGCCGAGCAUCCAGUGAUAUAAAUGCCACAGCA